rnacentral:rRNA from 1 species
GACGAACGCUGGCGGCGUGCCUAACACAUGCAAGUCGAACGGAGUACUCAGCAAUGGAUACUUAGUGGCGCACGGGUGAGUAACGCGUAGACAACCUGCCUUCUAGAUGGGGACAACACCGCGAAAGUGGUGCUAAUACCGAAUGUUGUACCUUUGUCGCAUGAUAGAGUUACUAAAGGUGGCCUCUAUUUACAAGCUAUCACUAGAAGAUGGGUCUGUGUCUGAUUAGCUAGUUGGUGAGGUAAUGGCACACCAAGGCGACGAUCAGUAGCCGGUCUGAGAGGAUGGACGGCCACAGUGGGACUGAGACACGGCCCAGACUCCUACGGGAGGCAGCAGUGGGGAAUCUUCCGCAAUGGACGAAAGUCUGACGGAGCAACGCCGCGUGAGUGAAGAAGUUUUUCGGAUCGUAAAGCUCUGUCGUUUGGGACGAACGUAUCUUGUGUGAAUAAUGCAAGGUAAUGACGGUACCAAAGGAGGAAGCCACGGCUAACUACGUGCCAGCCGCCGCAGUAA